rnacentral:lncRNA from 1 species
UCAUGAAUGACGGAUUCUCAACCCAGCAAACUGGAAGGACCUGAACAGCUGUUGAAAACUUGAGGAUACCCAGACUGAGUUCGUCUGUGAAGAUCUUUCCCUGGAAGGUGACGUGCAGCCAGGGCCAGGGGACCCUGUAGGGCACUGCCCAGAAACAAAAGCCCUCAAGUGGCCUAGAAGAGGAUGUUUCAUUGGACCAGAGAAUGUCAGCUUGAGAUGGGGAAACAGGCCCAGAGACGCUGCUGCCUACAACAAGGAGAGCCGAGAGUUGGGGGGACCAGGAGAGACUGCUGCUCACCAGCCUCGUGGAGGGAGAAGGAUCACUCACGCUGGGGGAUGGCAGCUGCCAUGUUGUGAGGAUGCUCAAGUAGCCCUAUGGAGAGUCCCAUGGUGAGCUGAGGCCACGUGCCAACAACCAUGUGACUGCGCUAUCUUUGAAUUGGCUCCUCCGGCCUCAUUCAAGCUUGCAGAUGGGUGACUACAGCCCCCUGUCAAGCCCCGAAAUCCCUGCAAACCUCCUGAAAUCUUGACUGCAGCCUCAGGCAAGACCCCAAGAUAGAACCACGUAGCAAGCAAUGGCCAAAUUCCUGACCUACAGGAACAGUGUGAGGUAACAGAUAUUUAUUGAGGUUGCUAAAUUUGAGGUCAACAGCGAAUACAGUGCUAAAUUUAAAAAAAAAAAAAAAAAGAAAAAAUCUGAACAAACUUAGCCUAGACCAUUCCUUAGGAAGACGCCAUAUUGGAGACUACCCCGCUGUCUCCCUACGGUAACUGGGCAUUACCGUAUUCCCUCU